AGCUUUUACCUCCUGCCUCUUUUGUUUGGAUUUAAUUCUUUCUCCUCCAAGUAUUCCCCCUCUUUUGGAGUUCAAGAACCACAUCCUGGGCUGGGGGUGAGCUUGGUAGCAGAGCACUUGCCUCACACACGGGUGUGGUCCUCGGGCUGCUCCUCAGCAUGCGGAGCGAACCCCGUUUUUGACUUCACAAACCCUUUCUUACUUAACCCGCAUGGCCCAUGUCGCCACCUUGAAACACAGCGGGGGCGUCUCAGGAUCUGAAAGCAGGGCUGGGACAGGCAUUCGGUGUCAUGGAUUAGCACGAGAUGAAUCUUCCGGCUUAAAGGCUGAACCAAGGGAUUGCGAAGCCUGA
rnacentral:lncRNA from 1 species